rnacentral:rRNA from 1 species
AGUGAACGCUGGCGGUAGGCCUAACACAUGCAAGUCGAACGGCAGCACAGGAGAGCUUGCUCUCUGGGUGGCGAGUGGCGGACGGGUGAGGAAUACAUCGGAAUCUACUUUUUCGUGGGGGAUAACGUAGGGAAACUUACGCUAAUACCGCAUACGACCUACGGGUGAAAGCGGGGGAUCUUCGGACCUUGCGCGAUUGAAUGAGCCGAUGUCGGAUUAGCUAGUUGGCGGGGUAAAGGCCCACCAAGGCGACGAUCCGUAGCUGGUCUGAGAGGAUGAUCAGCCACACUGGAACUGAGACACGGUCCAGACUCCUACGGGAGGCAGCAGUGGGGAAUAUUGGACAAUGGGCGCAAGCCUGAUCCAGCCAUACCGCGUGGGUGAAGAAGGCCUUCGGGUUGUAAAGCCCUUUUGUUGGGAAAGAAAUCCAGCUGGUUAAUACCCGGUUGGAUGACGGUACCCAAAGAAUAAGCACCGGCUAACUUCGUGCCAGCAGCCGCGGUAA